rnacentral:rRNA from 1 species
AUGCCGGGGCAGCUUCACUUCUUCACCUCCUCGUACUCGGCCUCUGGGGCCUGGUCACCUCCGCCCUGCGACCCUCCUUCCUGGGAACCGCCAGCCGCGCCGCCUCCAGCCGCUCCACCACCGGACAUGUGCUCCCCGAUCUUUGAGACCGCCUUGUUGGCCGCUUCCAUCUUGCUCUUUAUCUUCUCAAUGUCGUCAGAGGCCAUCUCCGUGCGGAGAUCAGCAACCGCCGUCUCGAUCUCGGUGGCGACCUCCGCGGGGAUCUUGUCCCUGUACUCUCCCAGGCUCUUCUCGAUGCUGUAA